GUAACGGCGAGUGAAGCGGCAACAGCUCAAAUUUGAAAUCUGGCCGCAAGGUCCGAGUUGUAAUUUGCAGAGGAUGCUUUUGGCGAGGUGCCUUCCGAGUUCCCUGGAACGGGACGCCAUAGAGGGUGAGAGCCCCGUACGGUAGGACCACCGAGCCUUUGUAAAGCUCCUUCGACGAGUCGAGUAGUUUGGGAAUGCUGCUCUAAAUGGGAGGUGUACGUCUUCUAAAGCUAAAUACCGGCCAGAGACCGAUAGCGCACAAGUAGAGUGAUCGAAAGAUGAAAAGCACUUUGAAAAGAGGGUUAAAAAGUACGUGAAAUUGUUGAAAGGGAAGCAUUCAUGACCAGACUUGGGCUUGGUUGAACAUCCGGCGUUCUCGCCGGUGCACUCUGCCAGUCCAGGCCAGCAUCAGUUUGCCCCGGGGGACAAAGGCGGUGGGAAUGUGGCUCUCUCCGGGGAGUGUUAUAGCCCGCCGUGUAAUGCCCUGGGGCGGACUGAGGAACGCGCUUCGGCUCGGAUGCUGGCGUAAUGGUCAUCAAUGACCCGUCUUGAAACACGGACCAAGGAGUCGUCUUCGUAUGCGAGUGUUCGGGUGUCAAACCCCUACGCGAAAUGAAAGUGAACGUAGGUGAGAGCUUCGGCGCAUCACCGACCGAUCCUGAU
rnacentral:rRNA from 1 species